AACGAACGCUGGCGGCAGGCUUAACACAUGCAAGUCGAGCGCCCCGCAAGGGGAGCGGCAGACGGGUGAGUAACGCGUGGGAAUCUACCCAUCUCUACGGAAUAACGCAUGGAAACGUGUGCUAAUACCGUAUACGUCCUUCGGGAGAAAGAUUUAUCGGAGAUGGAUGAGCCCGCGUUGGAUUAGCGAGUUGGUGGGGUAAAGGCCUACCAGGGCGACGAUCCAUAGCUGGUCUGAGAGGAUGAUCAGCCGCACUGGGACUGAGACACGGCCCAGACUCGUACGGGAGGCAGCAGUGGGGAAUAGUGGACAAUGGGCGCAAGCCUGAUCCAGCGAUGCCGCGUGAGUGAUGAAGGCCCUAGGGUUGUAAAGCUCUUUCACCGGUGAAGAUAAUGACGGUAACCGGAGAAGAAGCCCCGGCUAACUUCGUGCCAGCCGCCGCCGUAAUAC
rnacentral:rRNA from 1 species